rnacentral:rRNA from 1 species
GGGUUGUGAGGUUAAGCGACUAAGCGUACACGGUGGAUGCCCUGGCAGUCAGAGGCGAUGAAGGGCGUGCUAAUCUGCGAUAAGCGCCGGUAAGGUGAUAUGAACCGUUAUAACCGGCGAUACCCGAAUGGGGAAACCCAGUGUGACUCGUCACACUAUCAUUAACUGAAUCCAUAGGUUAAUGAGGCGAACCGGGGGAACUGAAACAUCUAAGUACCCCGAGGAAAAGAAAUCAACCGAGAUUCCCCCAGUAGCGGCGAGCGAACGGGGAGGAGCCCAGAGCCUGAAUCAGCAUGUGUGUUAGUGGAAGCGUCUGGAAAGACGCGCGAUACAGGGUGACAGCCCCGUACACAAAAGCGUAUGUGCUGUGAGCUCGAUGAGUAGGGCGGGACACGUGGUAUCCUGUCUGAAUAUGGGGGGACCAUCCUCCAAGGCUAAAUACUCCUGACUGACCGAUAGUGAACCAGUACCGUGAGGGAAAGGCGAAAAGAACCCCGGCGAGGGGAGUGAAAAAGAACCUGAAACCGUGUACGUACAAGCAGUGGGAGCACAGGUUUACCUGUGUGACUGCGUACCUUUUGUAUAAUGGGUCAGCGACUUAUAUUCUGUAGCAAGGUUAACCGAAUAGGGGAGCCGGAGGGAAACCGAGUCUUAAUUGGGCGUUAAGUUGCAGGGUAUAGACCCGAAACCCGGUGAUCUAGCCAUGGGCAGGUUGAAGGUUGGGUAACACUAACUGGAGGACCGAACCGACUAAUGUUGAAAAAUUAGCGGAUGACCUGUGGCUGGGGGUGAAAGGCCAAU